UCUAGUGGAUCUCAGUAGAAACUAAAAACGAGGUUUUCAUCAUAGUCCUUCUCAUUUCCUCAUCCCCAGGAUCGGUUCAUCCAAGCAAACCCACACAGGAAAAUUGGGAUCAGGAAGAGGAAUCGUGGAAGACCAUGCAGCGCUGAAGAUGAGCCAGAAAUACCUCAGUUGUGUUGGCUUACUGUAAAAAUUAUAGGUAUGAGGAAUCUCCGCAAAGCAGACCUGUUGAGCCAAACUGACUGCUACGUGAGGCUGUGGCUGCCAACAGCUUCGCACCAGGAAGCCCGUACAAGAACUGUAUCCAACUGCAGGAACCCUGUCUGGAAUGAAACUUUUCACUUCAUGAUACAAAGUGAA